GGCUGAUUUAAUCACAGGGAGCACAGAGGACGGUACCUAAAUCAGAAGGGAUCUGGGGAGGUUUCCUGGAAAAGGUUUCAACCAAAGCCAUAAAUGCUGAUGUGGAUAUCAGGACAGUGUUUCAAGCAAUUUAGAUACAAUAUAAAAUAUACUGAUGCCAUAGUAGAAGAAGUUGAAGCCACUUUGCCAAGAUAUUUGGUUCUGAUACAAAGGAAGUUUUUCUCGGCCUGGUCUUGACUUAACAGUGACUUUAGUACUAUCCUGUUCAGACACCUCAAGUCUUCAGAAGAAAGCAGAUGAUGUGAAAGUAUAUCUAGGUCCCCAAGAGAGAUGCAAAUUACCAGCUGUAUUCCCUCAUGUCAGGAAAAAGAGGGUCCCAUAUAUUUCUUGUCUAAUACAAAAUCGCAGAAGGCUGAAACACAUUAACUAGAAAAGAGAAUGCAAUUUGGAUUCAACUACCUGCUGUCAUGAAAGGUAACAGUAGUUAAUAAUGUUUGCAAUUCAUGGGAUGUUAGAGAUAAAAGAGUCCUCAAAUAUCCUCCAGCAAAAUCUCUCUCCUUUUACAAAUGGACAAACUAAGGACAAGAGAAGAAAGAUGAGUCAAGCCUUCAGUCUUAUGCUGUGAUCUGAUGGUGAGCUAUAAAAUCACUGUCAAGAGAGCCCUUCCAACCACCUGUGCUCCUGGAAUUCAUGAGGGAAACACAUUCCUAAAACAAAACUAGCAACAUCAAGAUAUUACCAAAUGCUAGGCCGGGCGCUGUGGCUCAUGCCUGUAAUCCCAGCAGUUUGGGAGGCCGAGGCGUGUGGAUCAUGAGGUCAGGAGAUCGAGACCAUGGCG
rnacentral:lncRNA from 1 species